rnacentral:rRNA from 1 species
UACGAGGGGGGCAAGCGUUGUUCGGAAUUAUUGGGCGUAAAGGGCGCGUAGGCGGCCUGGCAAGUGGAAGGUGAAAUCCCUCGGCUUAACCGAGGAACUGCCCUCCAAACUGCUUGGCUUGAGUCCGGGAGAGGUGAGUGGAAUUCCCAGUGUAGCGGUGAAAUGCGUAGAUAUUGGGAGGAACACCAGUGGCGAAGGCGGCUCACUGGACCGGAACUGACGCUGAGGCGCGAAAGCGUGGGGAGCGAACCGG